GGCCUUCAGAUGGAGAUAUGAUUGGCUGGAUAGGAGGCGUACACUCAAGUGUGUCCACAGCUGGAUCUGAUGUACGUGAUGACAUCCUAGACAUUGCGACUGAGCCCACUGACAUCAAAGAAUGCGACUUUAGGAAGACAUAAGGAAGGAGUGAAUAUACUUUACAUAUGCUCAGCCUGUAAUGCAGCCCUCACACUGUCACAGAGCCACACAGAGAGGCCAUGUGUUGUUCCAGCUGAAGACCCAGACAACCAGAAUCAACCACCACAUAUACAACCAAAUGAGCCUCUGGAUAAUUCCGGCCCCCAGGAUUCAAGUCUUCUAUCUGAGUUCCUGAACGUGAAAGAGCAGAGACAAUUCAUCCCCACAGUGCCCUGCCCAAAUUCCUGACCCACAGAAUCCACAAACAUAACAAAUGCUUGUUUAUACCACUAAAUUUUGGGGUCAUUUGUUAGGCAGAUGUAAUAGCUAGAACAAUUGCAGCAAAUGGAAUUAUGCUGUUGUAAGACAUGUAUAUUUAAUGUGAAAUAGUAUAAUAUUAAUUGUAAGUAGUCUACAAGUGAAUGGUGUAUAUUGUAAUCUCUAGGGUAACCACUAAAAAAAUUUAAAUAUGCAAAAAAGUGUAGAUAAAAAACCUAACAAAUAAAUUAAAAUGGAAUACCAACAGAAUUUGAUUUACUCAAAAGCAAGCUGGAAAGGAGAGACAGAGGAACAAAUAAAUAAUAGAUUCAGCAAAUAAAAAACAAAUAGUGAUUUGGUAGACUUCAACCCAUACUGUCAAUGACUUCAUUAAAUGUAAAUGGAUUAAAUAUUUCCAUUAAAAAAUA